rnacentral:rRNA from 1 species
GGAGAGUGCAAACGUUGUUCGGAUUCACUGGGCGUAAAGGGUACGUAGGCGGCUUGGCAAAUCGAUCGUGGAAUACCGACGCUUACCGUCGGUGCGGCGGUCGAAAAUACCAGGCUCGUGGGCGUGAGGGGUCACUGGAACUCAUGGUGGAGCGGUGAAAUGCGUAGAUAUCAUGAGGAACGCCGGAGGCGAAAGCGAGUGACUGGCGCGUCCCAGACGCUGAGGUACGAAAGCUGGGGGAGCAAACAGGAUUAGAUACCCUGGUAGUCCCAGCCGUAAACGAUGAACACUAGGUGGAGGAGGGCUUGCCCUUCUCUGCCGCAGCUAACGCGUUAAGUGUUCCGCCUGGGGAGUACGGCCGCAAGGUUA